UUGGGGAGUUCGAUUAACCAGCGGGCCCCCAGCUGAAGACCUCUGGGUGCUGGGCAAAUCCAGCAGGGCUUUGGGGAACUGGUUCCCCAUGGGCCUGGGAAUGCAGAGGCAUCAUCCCCUACAAUGAGGCUUUAAACGGAGCUUUCGCUCUCUCCUGGGUCAACGUGCUAGGUAGCCAGCUGGCCCUAGAUGCCUCCUGGCAGCGGGGCCCAGAGAUCCCCACGGGAGAGCCUGCAGCCCCACCUCCGGGCGGGGGCUAAACGUUGGCUGCCGAGCCAGCGACAGUUGGGUUCCAUCUAGGCUGCUCUGCUCGCUCGCCCUGCCACCCGGGCCGUGGCUUCCAGAAGUUGGCAAGCGCUUGGUCAACCUGUUUCGAACUCCCCAGGUGGCAGCCCAGCAGCUCCUCUUGUCUUCUUCUCUCUCCUCAUUGACAUCACUGCUCCGCUCAUAAAGAACAGGAAUUGCCUUCUUGUCUGGGAUUUCUCUCCCCAUGGCACAUCUCCCCUCCUACCAGCCAAGGAGUGGAAAGAGAAAUGGAGGGGAGGGGAGGGAGAAACCUGCCACACCCCCACUGUGGAGGCUCCACAGGCCCACCCAGCUCCUGGACUCGGAGCUCACCAAGGCUGAGGGAGGAGGGCUCCAAGACCCCUCUCAAUGCUCAUGCUUUUGUUAGUAGCUGCCCGUUGAAUCUGGCUCCGUUGGGUGGGAGGCCACCCAGCCACCCUGUCACCCCCUGGAACGGCUAAAAUGACAAAGACAGAUGAUGUCACUUGGCGGGUGCGGGUAUGGAGAAACUGGAAGUCUCAUCCGUUGCUGGUGGGUGUGCGGAACAGCAUGGUGUAGAAUGGAAGAGUUCCUGAUGAUGCUAAACACAUACCCCACUGUGAUUCUGCACUUUCACUCCGGGGCAUUCCGCCAAGAGAAAUGGCAACCUCUGUCCACCCAGAGCUCUGUUCAUGAAUGUCCACAGCCACUUAGCACACACUAGCCCCAAAGCAGGAACAACCCAGAAGUUUAUCAACAGACAAGGGGAAACACAAACUGCUACGUCCAGGCAGUGGAAUACCACCCCGCAGUACAAAGGAACGAGGCACCCGUGUUCGCCGCGGUCUAGCUGGAUCUCACAGACACUGUGUUGAACAAAAGAAGCUGCACACAGCCUUCCACCAAGUCCAAGGGAGGCUACAACGAGAUUAGUCUGCCCCCUGGAAGAGAACCCUCACCCUCCCACACUGGCACCCUGAUCCAGACUUUCAGCCUUCGGAAGUGUGAGCAAUACAUUCCUACUGUGUGUUGAUCGAUCUAUCUAUCUAUCUAUCUAUCUAUCUAUCUAUCUAUCUAUCAUCUAUCUAUCUAUCUGCAUACGAUGUACACCACAGUAUGAUUUUGUGUAUUCGAAGUUUAAAAAGAGGCAGAACCAAAUCUAGGGCAGUGGUUUUCAACCAGCGGUGCAUCUCCACCCUACCAGCCGGGGACAUUUGGCUCCGUCUAUAGACAUUUUUGGUUGUCACAAUCGGGGGUGGGUGCUAUGGCUUCUAGGAGGUGGAGGCCUGGGGAUCUGCUAAAUAUCUUCUGGUGCACCGCUCCGUGCUCAUAAUGAUCUGGCUCCAAAUGUUAAUCAGGCCGAGGUGGAGAAACCCCAAUCGGCCGUGGUUCAAGUCAGCAAAGCUAUCACGUCUUGGGAAGUGCUGAUUGGAAGGAGCACCAGGGAACUUGCUGGAAAUGUUCUCUCUCUGUGCUGUCUAAUAUAGUAGCCACUAGCCACAUCCCGAGAGCCUCGGUAGCUGCGUGUGAUGCACAUAGAACAUUUUCAACUUUGCAGGAAGCUGUACCGGACAGCGAUGCUCUAUUUCUUGAGCUGGGCGGUGCAAAAGGUAUAUGGACGCUUAAAAUGUGCACGGGUUCUGGCAGGCAAGUUAGGCCUCAAAACACAGAACCCAGUGGGGUGAGGAAAGUCUUUGCUGCAGGUGAGGAGUGGAGAUGCUGGUGAAGCCACAGAACCCCUGCCGCCCUCCAGGCUGCCCCCCACGUGGGGCCAGGCCUGCCCAUGCAUCCAGAAACUGGGCGGGCCUGUGAAGGGGAGGGGCUGCUGAGAGUCUCCAGGUGGGCCCCCCACCCCCACCCCGUGGCAGAAAGCACCAAGGCCAUUUACCUUCCAGGGAAUUCAAGGGCUGCCCUGGCCCUCAGUGGAUUUACAAGUGGGUCAGGUGGACCUGAGCAAACGAAGGGUUCUGUUUCCCCCCCUAUCACCACCACUUUUGCUACGUAGCCUCCCCCACCAGGUGUGCAGGCUCUCCCGGCAGAAAUUGCUCUAUUCUCGGGCACCGCUGCCUCUCUCACUCUUCUGGUGUGAGGGUUUUACAAUAACAGCAUUGUAACCACUUUGAGAAAACCAAUAAAAAGGCGGUGACAAAAGAAUAGCGAGCCGGCUGGAAAUUGCACGCAGCAGCGAAGGCCUGAGCCUUUUGCCGCUGUGGGUUUAAUAGUGCUCCCGGGCUGCAGGCUGCGAAGACGCGCGUGUUUAUUUGGGGGAUGUGCAGUCGCUUAAAUAAUGAAUCUCACAGAAGCUUUAGGAUGAAUACAGGGAGCUCUGACUCCCACUGUCGCUCAAGCUUUCUCACCCAACUGGGCCCUGUAAACAGGUGCCCCACCCUGGUCAGACCUGUAGAGCCUGCUGCCCUGUAGUGUGUGAUGUGGAAGGAGGAGCAUAUUCAUUCAUUCAUGCAUUCAUUCAUUCAUUCAUUCAUUCACUGGAAACCAUACCAACCGACCACCUACUCAAUGCUGAGCCCCAUCCUGGGCACUGGGCCAUAAAGAACACUUUCCCAGUCUGCCUC